rnacentral:lncRNA from 1 species
AUAAAUGUAAAUUAUUCCACUUUUAUACCAUUCGAAAUUGACAAAAGUAUGACGGGAUGAGGAGAUCGAGGGAAAUCCGUGAGUCGGUUUUGGUUGGAUUCCAUGGAGAGUCCAUUUACGGGCCCACGGAGGGACCGUUGUCUCUUAUCCCGUGACUUCCGUUUUACACCUGCUUUUCCAAAUCUUGAUUAAAUUAUAAUGAAUAAAAAAACUUUUAGUCAAGUUCUAUUAUGAAAAACAUAAUGAUAGAUUUAUUACAUUAAAAAAACAAAGAACUUACAAAUACCGCUUUCUUAUUUGGUAAUUGGGUAAUUUGUACCAUAUAUCGUUAACCUUGGUUUUAGAUGUACAUUCACUAACUUAGAUAUUGAGCGAAGAUACAUAAUUUUGUAAUUUGUAGUUUCAUUGCAAUAUGAUAAAAUAUAGAAAAAGUUGUUCAUACAUAUCAAUGUGUCCCUUGAUAUCUUUAGUGCUAUUGUUUGUAGGUACAAAGUACGGGUUGCCUCGGGACAACAUGUUUCUUAAACAUAACAUAUGGAAACUCUAUCAUCCAGGCUAACUUGGCGCAAGACAACCUAACCCUGGCCACUGACUCUGUCGUUGGCUACCCUUUCAGUUGCAUUCAGAAAACAACCGGCAGUUCUUUACCACCACAAGGUGUUUUAGGCCUUGGUCGUGGUCCAUUGUCAUUUGUAUCCCAAUCUAAGACACUUUACCAAUCCACAUUCUCAUAUUGUCUGCCUAGUUUCAAAUCUUCAAAUUUUUCGGGGACACUAAGAUUAGGUAAAAAUGGACAACCCAUUAACAUUAAAUACACACCGUUGCUUGUAAACCCUAGAAGAACAUCGCUUUACUAUGUGAACUUGGUCGGAAUUAAAGUUGGCUCGAAGGUUGUCAACAUCCCCCCAAGUGCAUUAGCUUUCAACCCAAAUACCGGUGGUGGCACCAUCAUCGAUUCAGGUAAUUCUUGAGAAUAUUUAAACAAUUUUGUUUCAUAUAAAUAUCGACAUCAUGAUAUGGUUAUCAUGACAUCAUCGUCACAUUAUAUGUGAGUUUUCAAGCAACUUAUAUCGUCAGUUUAUUGAGAAAACAUCUAAACAUUCAUAAAUUAUUGUUAUUAAACUACACUAAUAAAAAAAUUCAUACAAGGCACUUGAGAGUGUACAAUUAUAGUAAAAUAUUGUACUUUAUAAAGCUACAAUAAUAGUAAGUUUUAAUUAAGUAGAUUUUUAAAAGUAUAAUACAAUAAUAAGAAAAACUUAAAAAGUAUAAUGUUGUAUUGGAAAGAUAUUUGAAUUAUAUGAAUCCAAUAAGAAAAAAAAAAUCAAAAUACAGUUUUAUAAGAGACAAAGAAAUCAAAAUAUAAUCUUAUUAAUUAUUCCCUAUUAUAAUAUAUUUCAUAAAAGCAUCUGUCAAUAUAAAGGUUGCUUUUAUUUGUGUAGGCACGGUGUUCACUAGGCUGGUGGACGGAGCCUACACGGCGGUGAGAGAUGAGUUCAGAAGGCGGAUGGGAAAAGCCGUCGUAUCGACACUAGGCGGCUUCGACACUUGCUACACUGUCCCAAUCGGAAAACAAGUCCCGACAAUGACCUUCAUGUUCCCCGGACUCAACAUGUCGCUGCCACAAGACAACUUCCUCAUCCACAGCUCCUCCGGCUCCACCACCUGCCUCGCCAUGUCUUCCUCGCCGGCGCUCAAUGUCAUCGCCAAUAUGCAGCAGCAGAACCACCGCGUUUUGU